rnacentral:lncRNA from 1 species
UUUUUUUUUUUUUUUCUUUUUUUGGACUGGAUAAUAAAAAAUGUCCCAGUUAGCUGGGACUACAGGCUCAUGCCACCUCUCCUGGCAUAGGGGAUUGUUGUUAUUAAAAGUUUAUCUUGUAAUGUGUUCUCUCAAUAAUCCCAGCCCAGUGUGGAUACUGUUUUUUUACAGGGUAUUUAUUGAAUGCCAGGCUUAUUGAAAAGUUAGAAGUUUGGGUAUGUAAGUUUGGGUUGUAUCAAGAAAAACAAGUAAGUAGCCAGAGCUUUUUAAAGUUAAAAAUGAAAAAGUUCAUUUCCAUGAAUCUAACUGUAUUGUAUUCCUUUUGUGUUUUGUAUGUAUGCAUAGGAUUUUUAUAUUACUUUGGGAACAGGAUGUGUGUUUUUGUUGGCAUCCAUCAUUUUUGUUUCCACACAUGACAGGACUUCAGCUGAGAUUGCUGCAAUUGUGUUUGGAUUUAUAGCAAGUUUUAUGUUCCUACUUGACUUUAUCACUAUGCUGUAUGAAAAACGACAGGAGUCCCAGCUGAGAAAACCUGAAAAUACCACUAGGGCUGAAGCCCUCACUGAGCCACUUAAUGCCUAAAGACUCUGGGGAGCAGAUGUUACCUAAGGUAGUGACCCUGCAUUGUGGUGCCUGAGCCCUGGCAGAAGCUCUUGUAAAAUUUGUUAAUUGUUUAAACCACUUCUUUUGGAGAGCAAGGGGAAGGUCAAGAAGGCAGUUUUAUCAAUAUUGUGUCAGUCACCACAAAGUAGGCCAGAUAAGUUAAAAAAAAUUUUUUUUUAAAUAAUAAUUGAAACUUAUCU